rnacentral:rRNA from 1 species
GUUGAACGCUGGCGGCAGGCCUAACACAUGCAAGUCGAGCGGAUGAAGGGAGCUUGCUCCUGGAUUCAGCGGCGGACGGGUGAGUAAUGCCUAGGAAUCUGCCUGGUAGUGGGGGAUAACGUCCGGAAACGGGCGCUAAUACCGCAUACGUCCUGAGGGAGAAAGUGGGGGAUCUUCGGACCUCACGCUAUCAGAUGAGCCUAGGUCGGAUUAGCUAGUUGGUGGGGUAAAGGCCUACCAAGGCGACGAUCCGUAACUGGUCUGAGAGGAUGAUCAGUCACACUGGAACUGAGACACGGUCCAGACUCCUACGGGAGGCAGCAGUGGGGAAUAUUGGACAAUGGGCGAGAGCCUGAUCCAGCCAUGCCGCGUGUGUGAAGAAGGUCUUCGGAUUGUAAAGCACUUUAAGUUGGGAGGAAGGGCAGUAAGUUAAUACCUUGCUGUUUUGACGUUACCAACAGAAUAAGCACCGGCUAACUUCGUG